GGCCCCAUCGUCUAGUGGUCUAGGACAUCGGCCUCUCACGCCGGUAACGCGAGUUCGAACCUCGCUGGGGUCACCA
rnacentral:tRNA from 1 species